AGCUGAGUUUGGCAAGGAGGCUGUGCUCUAGUGGCCAUUGAAGAGUAACUUCUGAUGAGUUAUCUGAUCCAGCAAUUAAAGUGUUACUGCAAAGCUUAGUUAAGAGAAGAAGGGGCUGUGGUCUGUAUCUAUGACCAAAACCUCGCUGGGUGGCCACUUCUUGAUCAUGGAAUCUUGCUGCUGAGGGUCCAGCAUGAGGUCACGCUGUGUCUUUAUGAAAACCCGCUUUAUUCGAUUCAAUCUCUCAUCAGCUCCUUCAAAGCUUGCAGUACCAAUAGCACUUGCAGGCCAUGGGCGCAUCAGCAUUGAAGCCAGUAUUGACUCCUGAACAAGAUUUUUUUCAUAAAACAUGUGGCUUUGCUGUGAUAGUCGAUCACGCUGGAAUUCUAAUCUCAAGGCGACGGUAGUUGGAGGAUCAUCUGCUCCUGCACCGAAUGUCAACUCGGUCUCAUUCUCAGGCAAACUUGGAUCCUACCUUCUCGCCCUCCGGCAAGGCGGAGAUGAGGCGCAGGAGCGGCUUGUCAUACUGGUCGAAUGACCGGACAGUGUUGGGGUCGGUGGGGUCUACGCCGCUUCCAGCAAGGUCUAUGCAGGUCACCUGGUAGCCGGAGCCCUCAAGGAGCCACCGGAGCUUGAACCAGCACCACCCUCCAUGACCUUCCCCAUG